rnacentral:tRNA from 1 species
GGUCUGGUAGUUCAGCUGGUUAGAAUGCCGCCCUGUCACGGCGGAGGUCGCGGGUUCGAGUCCCGUCCAGACCGMCA